UAGGGAAUCUUCGGCAAUGGACGAAAGUCUGACCGAGCAACGCCGCGUGAGUGAUGAAGGUUUUCGGAUCGUAAAACUCUGUUGUUAGAGAAGAACAAGGACGUUAGUAACUGAACGUCCCCUGACGGUAUCUAACCAGAAAGCCACGGCUAACUACGUGCCAGCAGCCGCGGUAAUACGUAGGUGGCAAGCGUUGUCCGGAUUUAUUGGGCGUAAAGCGAGCGCAGGCGGUUUCUUAAGUCUGAUGUGAAAGCCCCCGGCUCAACCGGGGAGGGUCAUUGGAAACUGGGAGACUUGAGUGCAGAAGAGGAGAGUGGAAUUCCGUGUGUAGCGGUGAAAUACGUAGAUAUAUGGAGGAACACCAGUGGCGAAGGCGGCUCUCUGGUCUGUAACUGACGCUGAGGCUCGAAAGCGUGGGGAGCAAACAGG
rnacentral:rRNA from 1 species